rnacentral:lncRNA from 1 species
CAACGAGGCGCCGUUCGUCGACGCGCUGGUUGGGAAAGCGCUUGACGGCCACGUCGACGCCCUUCCAUCGUCCGCGGUAGACCAUGCCGCACGAGCCGGCGCCCACGUGUUCGCGCAAGUCGAUUUCGUCAUAGUUGAUGAUCCAUCGGCACGCGUUGGCCGAUGCCAGUAGGCCGCCGCCACUGCCUGUCGUAAGGAUCGCGCCGGCGGCCGCCGUAAUCGAUCCGCUCUCGGACGUCGGGUCGGCCGCGCGCCACGACGCACUGGCAAUGUCCUCAAAGCGCCGGGCGCGCAGGGCGUGCGGCCUCAGUUCAUACAGGGAACUGUGCCUGUUGUGGCCUUGGUCGUCGUCAUUGUCGCUGUCGUUGUCGUCGUCGUGGUCUCUAUAGACAAUACGAUCCACUGUGUAGGCCUGUCCGGGCGCCGAUGCAUGGCCACUGUUAUUGUCGUCGUUGUCAUUGUUGCCAUUGUCUAGAGCGGCCGCCUCGGCGGUGAGCAAGACACGGCCGCCUGCGGCAGUCGCCGCGAGCCGACAACACAGUUGGACAUCGCCUCCCGAGCACGCAGGCAGCGCGCCCGGUUCACGGUGCCACCGCGGAUGGCCCACAUGGAUGGCCAUGCGCACACGCAACCCGGCAUACAGACGGCGGCGGCGUGUCGUAGACUGGCCCGGUAGAUCCUUGCCGCCAAUCUGUCGGUUGUCGUCCUCUGCGAUGACGCUGUCAUUGUCGUCCUCGUCUGCGUCGACAAAGACCUCGGCUGCGCCUUGGUGGGCAUCGAGGAGGGCACGCGGCCAGGGCGCGUCGACCAGCGCCACUUGUGCGUCGGCGCACCAGGCGCAUGCGUGGGCGGCAUCGGCAAAGGCCACGCACAUACAACCGGCUCCGGCCGUGUCGCCGCCUUGGAUAGCCACCUCGACGCCAUUGUGCACAGUGGCCAGGUUGCGCAGCAGGUCGUUGCACAAGAGCGUGGCGUCGCGCAUGGCCUCGGGAUGGGCCUCCCAGAGGGCGUCGGCGCGAUCCACGUCGGCCACCACCAGGGCGACUCUGCCCUGGCCAUCAUGCCCAGCCAUCAGGUUUGAUAGUGCGCGAUUGCGUCCAGGCGCGUUUCUAGUGGGGUCACGGUGGAGGCGCGGCGAGUCGCGUGCCCCCGCCGCAGUCGGAUAGAGCGACGAGCCCGACAGCGUGACGCCCGUCAUCGACGAGGACGAUGACGAGGACGACGCAUAGGCAUAGCCCUCGUCAAUCUGCAUCCGAUGGCUCAUGCUGCUCGAUGACGAUGACGACGAAGACGACGAGCCACUGUGCUUGAUGGCGCUUGACAAGCGAUGCUGGAUGUCGACAAAGGCCGGCCGCAUGACCGGGUCGCGGUGCCAGCACUCGACGACAAGGGCCGCAUAGUCGGAUGGCGCCACCGAGGGCAUGGGCGGCCGGAUGUUGUCGCGGAUGACGGCGACGGCGAUCGACGCCGGCGACAUGCCGGCAUAGGGCUCGCCCCGCGUGAGCAUCUCCCAGAGGACGAUACCAAAGGCAUAGACGUCGGCCUGCAUAUAGUCGGCGUCGGCGCUCUCCUCCAGGACCUCCGGCGCCAGCCACUGGACGGUGCCCUGGACGGCGUCGCCACCGCCGCCGUUGCGCGCCAGGUCGGCCUUGAACCGGGUGAGGCCAAAGUCUGAUACCUUGACAUUCCACUUGGCGUCCAGCAAGAGGUUGAGCGACUUGAGGUCGCGGUGGACGACGCCCGACGAGUGCAGAAAGUGCAUGCCCUUGGCCGCCUGGUAGGCCAUCUUGACGACGAGCGCGUGCGGCACCUCGGGCACGAGUUCAUUGUGCAAGAGGUCGUAGAGUGACCCGAGGGCCAUAAACUCCAUGACGAUGCACAUCUUGGGCGGCUUGGUGCACGCCGCCAUGAACAAGACCACGUUGGGAUGGCGGAGGGCGCACAUCACCCGGACCUCGUCGGCAAAGGCGCGCCGUGCCUCGCUGCCGCCCGCGCCGCUGACGGCGCGCUCUGAAAUGACCUUGACGGCCACCUCGGUGCCGCGCCACGUUGUGCGGUAGACAACGCCAUAGCCGCCGGCGCCCAGUACGUUGGUCUCGGCAAUGUCAAUGUCGUCUGGGUCAAUUUCCCAGUCCUCGCGUCCGCGACCGCGGCGCCGCGUGGCCAGGAUGGCGGCAACAGCCAAGACACCCGCGAUGCACAGCAAAGCGACCACGGCCACCGAGACGCUGGCCGCCACUGCUGCCGUCUCGCCGCUCGACCAACCGCCAUCGUCCGAUCCCGCAGACGCCACGUCAAACUCGCAUCGGUCACCCGUGCGGUCAGCGCGGCAUCGACAUCGCCCGGCCGUCUCGUCGCACGUGCCGGCGUCCGAGCACAGGGUGCCGUCACCAAAGCAUGGGCGCAGGGGGUUGACAUAGGCUCCGUCGACAGUCACAUUGACCAGCAUGCCGAGUACGUCUGACCAUACGUCGGGCAGGUCGGCGACGCCAUAGACGCCAGUGACGUUGGAAAUCUGGAUGGCAGUCGUGGCCGUCUGUGUCCAAUAGAGCCAGCGCACGAGUUGUCGAGCGCGCACUGGGUCGGGCAUCGUGGCCGUGUGCAUGAGCACAAGGGCCAUGUUGGCCAUGGGCCAGGCGCGCGGCCCCGAGGCGCCCACCACAAACGACAGACGGUCAAUCUUGCCGAUGCCGCCCGAUGCCGCGGCAACCUCGGCGACGGCCGCCAGUGUGGUCUCGCGCGUGGGUUCUAGGGGUGUCGAGCCAUCGGCGCCCAAAAAGCGCGCCUCGCGCAAGUUGCGCUGGCGGAGGACAACGUGGUGGGCCGUGUAGGCAAUGGCAUAGGGUGUGGUCUUGAGCGUGUCAACGUAUUCGUCCAGGGUCGACACCACCGAGCGGUUGGUGGCGGCCACGGGCCAUGCGACAUUGUUGCUUCCAGUGCCAUAGGCGGCGGCAAAGGCGUCACUGUGCAGGGCAAAGGCGCGGCUGAUGGUGCCCGUGUAGAUUGACGAGCCGGUCUUGCCCACAAAGAGAAUGUCGGCGGCGGGCAGGGCCAUGCCGGGGUUGAGCGCCACCAGGUCUGGAUGGUCCCACCGCGUGAUCUCGGCCAGCAGGAUGCGCAUGGCCACGUCGAUGCUGAGGACGAGCGAGGGCGCGCCGCCCUUCAUGAGACCGGGUACGUUGUAGCAAAACACGACCGGGUAGGCGCCCACGGGCACCAGCGCCAAAUCGGGAUGCGCAGCGUGCACGUCGGGGUCGACGUCAUUGUUGGUCGGCCCAAAGUCGACGUCGCCAGCCAGGAUCUGGGCCUUGGCGCGGUUGCCGCGCGUCUCGGUAUAGUGCACGGUGGCGCCGGCGGCCGUCGGGUCGUCGUCAUAGGCAUAGGCCCACAGCGAGUAGACUGGCGUGGGCGAGCCCGAUCCGAUGAUGAGCGCUGCGGUAAAGGCCGCCGCACCGUUGCACCGCGCGGUCGACAUGAGAUCAAUGGCAUUCUUGGCAAAGCGCGGCGGCGCCACGACCGCAGCGUCGUCGGUGGCGACGGCGUCGGCCGCCUGCUGGUUGAGCAGCGCCCACCCGAUAAAGUCGAGCACGUACGACACAUAGGUGCAGUCAGCGGCGGCCACGUUGGUGGCCACGGCUGCCAGGGCAAAGGCCGUCAUAGGCCAACUGGCAGUGCCGGCGCCGCCCACGGGCAGCACCUCGUGCAUGCGCUCGGGCACAGUGGCCGAUAUGGUCUCGGCAAAGUCGUCCAGCGCUGCCCCGACAGCGUCUGACGUGGGCGUCACGGUCUUGUUGGCCGGAUUGCGCAUCGAGGCCGCCGUCAACGGGGCACCGUCCAUGCGGCGCACAGAUGCAUAGGCGGCAAACACGAGGGCACCGUCGGUGGAACUGGCGUUGGUCAACAGGGGCGUUGUGCCACCGACAACGGCAACGACUGCGAGAGUGCUAUUGGAUGUCGACGCAGUCGCAGGUGCCAUUGUAUACCAUGUGGUCGGCGACGGCAGGGCAGUGCGCCACGCGGCAAAGGGUGCAUAGAGAGCGCCGAGCGUGGCGCCCAAGAGAGCGGUUGAGCCAUAGAUCGACGCCUCGCACACGAGCACAAGCGGCGGGAGGCCAGACACGGUGCCCAGGAUCGGGUUAAGGGCGACGAGGUCGGGAUGGUCCCACGCCGUGAUCUCGCCCAGCCACAUGCGCGCUACGAGCGGACCCGAGAGGACGAGCGGCGCCGUGUGGCCCGCGGCGGCGAGCGCGUCCACGCGAUAGGCAAACACCCAGGGCAGGGCCGCUACGGGCACCUGAAUCACGCCCGAUCCCACCAGCCAGGCCUGGUUGCCGUCGGUAUCGUCGUCGGGCGCGGUACGGGCGGCCUGCCACGUGCCAUCGCUGAUGGAUGCUACAGUGGCGUCGUCGAGUCCGUAAUCGAGGCCGACAAAGUCGCUUCGGCCUGCUGCAAAGUAGCGCUCCAUGCCGGCCUCGGUGCCCGCCGUGGCGUCAUAGUCAACCGAGACCAAGUCUUGGCGGUAGAGGUAGCCGUCGGACCACGCCUCGUAGAGGCCGGUGCCGCCCAUACCGCCGGCGCCAAUGGCUGUGCGACUGGCCGCCGAUGCCUGAUUGAUGGCCACGCUGAUGACGAGGAUCGCCACAACCAACGAUGUCAGCAGUUGUGCACGUUGGCGACGGGGAUUAUGCGCGCCCUGCGCGAACGGGCCGCUCCAAAUUGCCAUUUUUUUCUUUUUAACGGGUUUUCUUUUUUUUU